GCGCGCGCAUUCCGCAAGUUUUUUUUCUUUUCUCAGGGACAGACUGCGCUAAGAGUGAACAAACUAAAGAGUUCCUGACAUGAUCCAGAGGUCUGGUUAGCCCUGACCAUUAUCCGAUCGCUAAGACGCUUGCACACUCCCUCAAAGCUCCAUUUGUUUAAGCCCACCUAGAAAUGUUUUUCCCUGAGGGACAGACUGCGCUAAGAGUGAACAAACUAACGAGUUCAUGACAUGAUCCAGGGAUCUGAUGCAACCACCCCCCAUUGUCAGUGUCCAGUUGGUCAUCAAAAUGCCGGGAUCUCUUGCAAGGUUCAUCAACACUUGG